UACAAUAUUACAAUCAAUUUAAGGUUUUUUGUCUCUAAAUUCUCAACAAGUACGUCCUCAAGUACUACCUCUACGUGUAUCACUUAUUUGAAGAUGAUAGUUGCUGUCUUAAUAUUAUUGAAAGCAAUGAAAGCAAAACUGCAUACAUUAAUAUCAAUUCAUUACAGUAUAGAUAAUAUUGUUAUCGAUUUUAUCGGCAUCCUUCUCAUACAUAGGUAUUAUUUGUAUUUGUUAUAACAUGUAUACGAUGUAUCUAAUAUGUACAUCAGUAGCUCAACUACAGAAGUAGGU